GCAUUGGUGGUUCAGUGGUAGAAUUCUCGCCUCCCAUGCGGGAGACCCAAGUUCAAUUCCCGGCCAAUGCA
rnacentral:tRNA from 2 species